rfam:Nitratiruptor tergarcus DSM 16512 genome assembly, contig: NitteDRAFT_scaffold1.1
GUAGUUCUUGGUGUGUGUCGGCGACUUCGCUUGAGCUAAGGUGUCUUAGCGAGAAGUUGCCGCCUAAUCCAAGACUCGCUCUCUCUAAUUAUGGUCUUAGGGACCAUUGCAUUGCGUGAACGCCCGCUUGGGC